CUUGAAAGGAAAGGGGUGAGGGUUGGAUCUUCCCAAUUUUGGAACACCAAAGUUAAAAUCUUGAAGAGGGGAUGUCUUGAAUCCAAAGGCUGAAGGAGUGGAAGAGGCAAAAAUUGAUGGGAAACUAUUGGACUUCCUCGAAUCCAAGGGGACAAUAUUUGCUCCCAUCAAGAAAAUCUUCCCAUCGGUUCUCUUAGCAUCCUUUCACAAGGGAAAACUAGACAAGC
rnacentral:lncRNA from 1 species